AUUGGUUGAAAAUUACCUGUGACUUUGGUCACAGGUGAGAUUCCUUGCCCAGAGCCACCAGGGCCUCAGCUCACUGUUUGCUCCUCCCUGGCCGGGGUGGGGGGGGUGGGGGGGUGCUGCGGGGGUUGGGAACCCAGGCUCUGACACGC
ensembl:snoRNA